AACGCUAGCUACAGGCUUAACACAUGCAAGUCGAGGGGCAGCAUAGAAGUAGCAAUACUUUGGUGGCGACCGGCGCACGGGUGAGUAACGCGUAUGCAACCUACCUAUCAGAGGGGGAUAACCCGGCGAAAGUCGGACUAAUACCGCAUAAAACAGGGGCACCGCAUGGUGAUAUUUGUUAAAGAUUAAUUGCUGAUAGAUGGGCAUGCGUUCCAUUAGGUAGUUGGUGAGGUAACGGCUCACCAAGCCGACGAUGGAUAGGGGAACUGAGAGGUUGGUCCCCCACACUGGUACUGAGACACGGACCAGACUCCUACGGGAGGCAGCAGUGAGGAAUAUUGGUCAAUGGGCGAGAGCCUGAACCAGCCAAGUCGCGUGAAGGAAGAAGGAUCUAUGGUUCGUAAACUUCUUUUGCAGGGGAAUAAAGUGGAGGACGUGUCCUCUUUUGUAUGUACCCUGAGAAUAAGGAUCGGCUAACUCCGUGCCAGCAGCCGCGGUAAUACGGAGGAUCCGAGCGUUAUCCGGAUUUAUUGGGUUUAAAGGGUGCGUAGGUGGUUUAAUAAGUCAGCGGUGAAAGUUUGCAGCUUAACUGUAAAAAUGCCGUUGAAACUGUUAGACUUGAGUGUAAAUGAGGUAGGCGGAAUGCGUGGUGUAGCGGUGAAAUGCUUAGAUAUCACGAAGAACUCCGAUUG
rnacentral:rRNA from 1 species